AUUGAACGCUGGCGGCAUGCCUUACACAUGCAAGUCGAACGGCAGCACGGGUGCUUGCACCUGGUGGCGAGUGGCGAACGGGUGAGUAAUACAUCGGAACAUGUCCUGUAGUGGGGGAUAGCCCGGCGAAAGCCGGAUUAAUACCGCAUACGAUCCACGGAUGAAAUCGGGGGACCUUCGGGCCUCGCGCUAUAGGGUUGGCCGAUGGCUGAUUAGCUAGUUGGUGGGGUAAAGGCCUACCAAGGCGACGAUCAGUAGCUGGUCUGAGAGGACGACCAGCCACACUGGGACUGAGACACGGCCCAGACUCCUACGGGAGGCAGCAGUGGGGAAUUUUGGACAAUGGGCGAAAGCCUGAUCCAGCAAUGCCGCGUGUGUGAAGAAGGCCUUCGGGUUGUAAAGCACUUUUGUCCGGAAAGAAAUCCUUGGCUCUAAUACAGUCGGGGGAUGACGGUACCGGAAGAAUAAGCACCGGCUAACUACGUG
rnacentral:rRNA from 1 species